rnacentral:rRNA from 1 species
UGGGGAAUAUUGCGCAAUGGGGGAAACCCUGACGCAGCGACGCCGCGUGCGGGAUGAAGGCCUUCGGGUUGUAAACCGCUUUCAGCAGGGACGAGGCCGCAAGGUGACGGUACCUGCAGAAGAAGCCCCGGCUAACUACGUGCCAGCAGCCGCGGUAAUACGUAGGGGGCAAGCGUUAUCCGGAUUCAUUGGGCGUAAAGCGCGCGUAGGCGGUUUGUUAGGUCAGGAGUUAAAUCUGGGGGCUCAACCCCUAUCCGCUCCUGAUACCGGCAGGCUUGAGUCUGGUAGGGGAAGGCGGAAUUCCAAGUGUAGCGGUGAAAUGCGCAGAUAUUUGGAAGAACACCGGUGGCGAAGGCGGCCUUCUGGGCCACGACUGACGCUGAGGCGCGAAAGCUAGGGGAGCGAACAGG